rnacentral:rRNA from 1 species
UACGAAGGGGGCUAGCGUUGCUCGGAAUCACUGGGCGUAAAGCGCACGUAGGCGGCUUGUUAAGUCAGGGGUGAAAUCCUGGAGCUCAACUCCAGAACUGCCUUUGAUACUGGCGAGCUUGAGUUCGGGAGAGGUGAGUGGAACUGCGAGUGUAGAGGUGAAAUUCGUAGAUAUUCGCAAGAACACGAGUGGCGAAGGCGGCUCACUGGCCCGAUACUGACGCUGAGGUGCGAAAGCGUGGGGAGCAAACAGG